rnacentral:rRNA from 1 species
AAAUUGAAGAGUUUGAUCAUGGCUCAGAUUGAACGCUGGCGGCAGGCCUAACACAUGCAAGUCGAACGGUAACAGGAAGCAGCUUGCUGCUUUGCUGACGAGUGGCGGACGGGUGAGUAAUGUCUGGGAAACUGCCUGAUGGAGGGGGAUAACUACUGGAAACGGUGGCUAAUACCGCAUAACGUCGCAAGACCAAAGAGGGGGACCUUCGGGCCUCUUACCAUCAGAUGUGCCCAGAUGGGAUUAGCUAGUUGGUGAGGUAACGGCUCACCAAGGCGACGAUCCCUAG